rnacentral:lncRNA from 13 species
GUAUACUCAGCACGCAUCCUCGCAGGAAACAAAUAACAGCUCCACAGGAGUGGCUAAAAGAGAGGAUUAAGGGCAGGGCACAGAAAGGAGAGAAGCUUUCCAGGGAUGAAGUUACUACUGUUACCAUCACUGACUACAAAUGAAGAAACAGGCUGAGAGAACCACGGCCCUGCCAUGUCCCAAGGCAUUUGGCCUGUCCUGGUAGUGACCUUCCAAAACACAGCCCCCUCAGAGACCAUCAGAACUCAGUCCAAAUGGGGCCUGGAGGAAUUCUCCUGAUAUUAGAGCACCUCAUCCACCCCACACCCUCCGUCAUCGCUCUGGGACCUCGUUGCUGACCCUGGAAGACUGAGCACCACCCAGUAUGAAACUCCCCUCUGGAUGGAUGGCCUCUGGAUUGGUGGUCAGAGGUGACGGCAUCCGGAGGGGUCCCACCUCCAUUGUCUUAAUCUGGGGACUUUCUGUGACACAGUGCUGAGCAAAGGUACUAAAAGGCCACAAAGGGGUGCAGCAAGUGGUGAGUUGAGG